GCACAAGCAGUGGAGUAUGUGGUUUAAUUCGAAGCAACGCGAAGAACCUUACCAGGUCUUGACAUCCCGAUGACCGGUUCAGAGAUGAGCCUUUUCUUCGGAACAUCGGUGACAGGUGGUGCAUGGUUGUCGUCAGCUCGUGUCGUGAGAUGUUGGGUUAAGUCCCGCAACGAGCGCAACCCUUACGGUUAGUUGAUACGCAAGAUCACUCUAGCCGGACUGCCGUUGACAAAA
rnacentral:rRNA from 1 species